rnacentral:rRNA from 1 species
UCGGGAAUUUUGGGCAAUGGGCGCAAGCCUGACCCAGCAACGCCGCGUGAAGGAUGAAAUUUUUCGGAAUGUAAACUUCGCAAGAAUGGGAAGAAUAAGUUUCAAUUAACACCUGAAACGAUGACGGUACCAUUUGUAAGCUCCGGCUAACUUCGUGCCAGCAGCCGCGGUAAUACGAGGGGAGCAAGCGUUGUUCGGAUUUACUGGGCGUAAAGGGCGCGUAGGCGGCCACCGCAAGUCACUUGUGAAAUCUCCGGGCUUAACUCGGAAAGGUCAAGUGAUACUGCGGGGCUAGAGUGCAGAAGGGGCAACUGGAAUUCUCGGUGUAGCGGUGAAAUGCGUAGAUAUCGAGAGGAACACCUGCGGCGAAGGCGGGUUGCUGGGCUGACACUGACGCUGAUGCGCGAAAGCCAGGGGAGCGAACGGGAUUAGAUACCCCGGUAGUCCUGGCCUUAAACGAUGAAUGCUUGGUGUCUCGGGUUACAUAGUCCCGGGGUGCCGUCGCUAACGCUUUUAGCAUUCCGCCU